CCCGAAGCUAACUUCGGAACUGCAAUCAAAACUUUUUAGCUAGAGUGUGAUAGAGGAAAGCAGAAUUUCUAGUGUAGAGGUGAAAUUCGUAGAUAUUAGAAAGAAUACCAAUUGCGAAGGCAGCUUUCUGGAUCAUUACUGACGCUGAGGAACGAAAGCAUGGGUAGCGAAGAGGAUUAGAUACCCUCGUAGUCCAUGCCGUAAACGAUGUGUGUUAGACGUUGGAAAUUUAUUUUCAGUGUCGCAGCGAAAGCAAUAAACACACCGCCUGGGGAGUACGACCGCAAGGUUAAAACUCAAAUGAAUUGACGGGGACCCGCACAAGUAGUGGAGCAUGUGGUUUAAUUCGAAGAUACGCGCAGAACCUUACCAACACUUGACAUGUUCGUCGCGACUCUAAGAGAUUAGAGUUUUCGGUUCGGCCGGACGAAACACAGGUGCUGCAUGGCUGUCGUCAGCUCGUGUCGUGAGAUGUUGGGUUAAGUCCCGCAACGAGCGCAACCCUCACUUUUAGUUGCCAUCAUUUAGUUGGGCACUCUGAAAGAACUGCCAGUGAUAAGCUGGAGGAAGGUGGGGAUGACGUCAAGUCCUCAUGGCCCUUACGUGUUGGGCUACACACGUGCUACAAUGGCAUUUACAAUAGGAAGCAAGAUGGCGACAUCAAGCAAAUCCUAAAAAAAUGCCUCAGUUCGGAUUGUACUCUGCAACUCGAGUACAUGAAGCUGGAAUUACUAGUAAUCGCGGAUCAGCGCGCCGCGGUGAAUACGUUCCCGGGUCUUGUACACACCGCCCGUCACACCAUGGGAGUUGGUUCUACCUUAAGGCAAGGUCUAAAACCCUUGACCACGGUAUAGUCAGCGACUGGGGUGAAGUCGUAACAAGGUAGCCGUA
rnacentral:rRNA from 1 species